UCCAGCAGUCGUUAGCUCUCCUGGCUAGUGUGAUGCCUGUGAUGGUGUUUCACUGUUGGAACAGCAAGCACUGUCUUAAUUGAGGCUUGGCUCCGGGUGCUGUUUUGGUGUGGGGCCAAGUAUACCUUUGGGCAGUGUUUUGCACUUCUGAGAGUGAAAUGACUCCUGUGGAGUCGGUCCUAAUCUGAGUGCAAACAAU
ensembl:snoRNA SNORA74 Small nucleolar RNA SNORA74